GAAGUUGGAUUCGCUAGUAAUCGCGCAUCAGCCAUGGCGCGGUGAAUACGUUCCCGGGCCUUGUACACACCGCCCGUCAAGCCAUGGGAGCCGGGGGCGCCUGAAGUCCGGGACCGCGAGGACCGGCCUAGGGCGAAACUGGUGACUGGGGCUAAGUCGUAACAAGGUAUC
rnacentral:rRNA from 1 species